UACGUAGGCAGCAAGCGUUGUUCGGAAUUACUGGGCGUAAAGAGUGUGUAGGCGGUGCCCUAAGUUUGGUGUGAAAUCUCCCGGCUCAACUGGGAGGGUGCAUCGAAAACUGGGGUGCUCGAGGGUGGGAGAGGUAAGCGGAAUUCCUGGUGUAGCGGUGAAAUGCGUAGAUAUCGGGAGGAACACCUGUGGCGAAGGCGGCCACCUGGGCCGACCCUGACGCUGAGGCGCGAAGGCGUGGGGAGCGAACGGG
rnacentral:rRNA from 1 species